UAAUCCAUCACCAAAAGGGACAAGAAGC
rnacentral:piRNA from 1 species